ACUCUUUUUUACGACAAUAUGUUGGUGGACAAACAAAGUAUUUCCUUAGAAGAAGUUCCCUCUCUCUCCAGGAUAGACUUUAUAAACACACUUUGGAACCCGUUGUAGGGUGCAAUGACCUCAAAUGAUAAAAACCACCCCUUUUUCGUAUUCUUGAUGGAUAAAAAAUGAACAACACCACCUAUUUGAACUUCCUAAAUGGUACUGUCAUGGAUCCAGGAGGAAUUGUGCGGAACAUUAUUCUGCUUUCAAUAGAAUGGAACAACUUUUGACAAUGAUAAAAUGGUUUUCGUUUGGUGUUUGCCCCAUUUUGAGCAUUUUAGGCCUAAAGAAUGUUAUGCUUCCUUUUCUCCAUGAUCACGGCUCACUUUUAGAAAUAAACAAACAAUUUAGUGUAUUUUCA
rnacentral:lncRNA from 1 species